rnacentral:rRNA from 1 species
UGACCUCGGAUCAGGUAGGGAUACCCGCUGAACUUAAGCAUAUAAUAAGCGAG